rnacentral:rRNA from 1 species
CCUACGGGGAGCAGCAGUCGAGAAUCAUUCACAAUGGGGGAAACCCUGAUGGUGCGACGCCGCGUGGGGGAAUGAAGGUCUUCGGAUUGUAAACCCCUGUCAUGUGGGAGCAAAUUAAAAAGAUAGUACCACAAGAGGAAGAGACGGCUAACUCUGUGCCAGCAGCCGCGGUAAUACAGAGGUCUCAAGCGUUGUUCGGAAUCACUGGGCGUAAGGCGUGCGUAGGCUGUUUCGUAAGUCGUGUGUGAAAGGCGCGGGCUCAACCCGCGGACGGCACAUGAUACUGCGAGACUAGAGUAAUGGAGGGGGAACCGGAAUUCUCGGUGUAGCAGUGAAAUGCGUAGAUAUCGAGAGGAACACUCGUGGCGAAGGCGGGUUCCUGGACAUUAACUGACGCUGAGGCACGAAGGCCAGGGGAGCGAAAGGGAUUAGAUACCCCGGUAGUC